GGGCUAUAAAGCCGAACAGUCGACUGUUCUUAGAUUUGUUCGAUUCUGGUUCGAUUCUGUAAUUAUGGGGUCGUUGUACCCCUGAAUGUAAUACAGCUAAUAACUUAACAUAAUAACUUAUGGAAUAACUUAUGGAUCAUAAUAUUUCUGAGGGGGACUCGGUCGAGGUCGACGUCUCUACUCUUCUUAACGGCCCCAGCUGCUACUAAAUAUGUCAACAGACAGGAAGCUGGAGCUUCUGGCAGG